GUUUUAAGAUCUCUCCUCCACUCUCCAGAUAUUCUUCUGUUCUUCAUCUAAAUCCCAGAUCCUCACUCUCUUUCCAAUUUCCCUUCAUACAGCAAGCAUGAUGAGAUCAGCAAAUGUUGAAGCUUGAAGGUGUAGACAUGACAUCGAUGAAGAAGAGACACUUUUAGACAGGUUUGUUAAGUGAGUUCAGAUCAUGAAAGCACUGCCUCAAGCAGAAACACGCGUCCAACAAUCCCAAAAGUCCAAAACCAAAAGGAAAGGGAAAGGCUGCCAUGGUAAAUCUCGGCUAAUUCAUUUAUGAGGUUGUGAUUUGUGAGACUGUGAUGAAUUGGUGAAGGUUUUUAUCAUGUAAUGGUUUGUACUUUGUAGACUUCAAAUUUAAUUGGUGAAGG
rnacentral:lncRNA from 1 species